rnacentral:misc_RNA from 1 species
AAUGCGUUAAGUAGUGUGCAUUGCAGAAUUCAGUGAAUCAUCGAAUCUUUGAACGCACAUUGCGCCCCUUGGUAUUCCAUGGGGCAUGCCUGUUCGAGCGUCAUUUGUACCCUCAAGCUCUGCUUGGUGUUGGGUGUUUGUCCCGUCUCCGCGCGUGGACUCGCCCCAAAGUGAUUGGCAGCCGGCGUACUGGUCCCGGAGCGCAGCACAUGUCGCGCAAACGAGUGCCUUGGUACGGCGGCGUCCAUAAGCCCCUCUCUCACGCUCUUGACCUCGGAUCAGGUAGGGAUACCCGCUGAACUUAAGC